GUAUCUGGGGGUACAUAAGGAGAAGGUAGCAAAGAAAUAAAGGCAUGCAGAGAAGCAAGAAGGGAGCAUUGUGAUAGCAACAUUUGACAGCAGCAGAGGGCAGCAAUAUUUGGAAGCAGGAAGAAGAAGCAUCGGCAGAAUGGGCUCCUUUGAUCACAGACUGAUAACAUUCUGAAUCUCCCCGCCCCAGAAGAGUCAGCCUUGUUUCUUCAAGACAGUUCUCUGCAAACAACUGAGUCCUGUGUGGUGUUGACUGUGUCCGACCUGCCUGUAAAUAUAUACUUUAGUCCUUAGCUCAUAAUAAACACAUAAAAAUUUCA